rnacentral:rRNA from 1 species
CGGAGGGGCGUAGCGUUGUUCGGAAUUACUGGGGCGUAAAGCGCACGUAGGCGGCUUUGUAAGUUAGAGGUGAAAGCCCGGGGCGUCAACUCCGGAACUGCCUUUAAGACUGCAUCGCUUGAAUCAUGGAGAGGUUAGUGGAAUUCCGAGUGUAGAGGUGAAAUUCGUAGAUAUUCGGAAGAACACCAGUGGCGAAGGCGACUAACUGGACAUGUAUUGACGCUGAGGUGCGAAAGCGUGGGGAGCAAACAGGAUU